rnacentral:misc_RNA from 1 species
UUUAGUUGCGAACUAUUCUAUGAUAGUCAGUGGGGAAGUCGAUUGAGCUCCACUCAGGCUUCGGCUUGAGCAGUCGCGCUCCCUCUUCCCCGCUCCAUCCGCUCGCUCAAUUUUUGUUGCGUACCUCUCUUGACCACUGUUCAAAGUAGGUUUAUACUAUAUAUAUACCCCUAAGUAUGUCAAAUCUCAUAAAAUUUUAUGCUUUUAAGCAUCAUCUUCGAAAUGCUUGCUGGGCAACCCCCGGCUCGCUCUUAGAAUUUGAAAUUUAAGCAUAAACGGUGAAUACCUCGGCUCCUAAUUCGAUGAAGACCGUAGCAAACUGCGAUAAUUCACUAGAAUUGCAGACAACCGGGACAGUCGAAAUGUUGAACGCACAUGAUGGCACCAGUCCGCAAGGAUUAGGUGUCAUACUUGGAUGAUAGCGAUAUCUAACCUAAAAAACCUAAUAAACCGUUGUGCUCGGCACAUAGUGCGCUUUGGGUUUUGGGACUGGCUAGUCUUAGCGUCUUUUGCUAAGACCGGUCUGAGUGAGGGCUCCGGCCCCGCUAAUUCCCGUUACGUGGGCGAUCCACUUGGUUAAAAAGUCGCUAUUGUCAGAGUACUAUUGCUAGGUACCCGACUAAAGUUUUGUCCUGUUGGAACGCCGCGCUUAAUUGCCGGCUAGUACUCAAGCGGAUUAAUUGAUUGAUUUCAUCUAAUCUCUAGAGUAUUGGUCGUGUCGGUCAGUACAAAGGAACGCCCCCUCACGCUUUUGGAGCGAGGCGGCCGUCAUAUCCCGCUCAAAAUCUGUUCGUUGCGCUUAAUUGUGGGACGAAGGGAUGGGACGAGUUGACUUCUCCUUCGGGAUUGAAGCCCUCGGAUGGUAGCCCCGCUCUGGGAACGGAGCCCGCGAUCCUAUGGAACAUCAUAACAAUAUAGUCAGGUGCUCAGCACUCCAAAAGAUAGUACUUUGAUAAGCUAGAUGCACAAGGUGUGUAAGUCGUCGGACGUUCGGUGGUUACGCGCCCCGCUCGUGUAAACGCAGUAC